CCUUAUAUCUGGGGGUGAGGUCCUGGUGAUCUGUAAUAAAGGGUCCACCUACUUCAGGCACCAGCUCCUCACAAAAUACUAUCUGUUAAAAAAAUGUAACACAACUGUACUGUUUUAACUUUAAGAUCUUUGUGAGGAGAAAAUAAAUAGAUAUUAUUUAUUUUUCGUUCGUGUCGUGCCUUGGUGCAUCGUGUUUUCAUAGUGUUCUUUGCUCUGACUAAUUUUAACCGAUUGUGCUUGUUUUAUGGACUUGAUUAAAGCUUGAUUAUCUGCUGACUGCUAUAAACGAUUGACCAACGCUGUGUAUACUGGACCCUGGAACUUUUGCUGUCUGGAUUUUAUUUUACAUAGAUAUUUAGAAGUUCUCAAGUAAACUUUCAAAAUGCCGAGGAAGUCUGCCUUUAAGUGCUAUUUUGGAUGUACUCCGUAUAAAGGAAGACUCCAUCACUUUCCACCACUGGAAUACCCAAAUUCGGAAAAAUUUAAUCAGUAGAAAAUGGUUUUGAGUGAAGUAGACAAGGAAAAGGGUGAUAAUUUCAUAUAUUUGUUUGUGUGAUCAUCAUUUUAAAGAAUGCUGUUCCAACAUUGAAUAUUGCAACAACAUUAACAACUUUGCAAUCCUCUGAAAUGGAUUUAACUUCAUGCUCUGCUGAGCAAACUGAAACAUCUGAUAAUGCAAAAAGCUUUUCUGGAGAAGGCUCAACAUCAAAAGAAUUUGUACCAUCAUGUGAGGUUCCACCGGUAGCAAUUAUGCCAAGACGUGCUUCUGUCAAGAAAGGUACUAAAUCUAUAACGAUCAGAAAUAAAUAUGCAAAAGAAAAUAUCGGUUUGAAAGUCAAACUGUUAAAAUUGAGGGAAAAAUACAAAACUAUAAACCAAAAAGUGCAACAAGCUGCAAAGCUGUCACAAAAUAAAGCUUUUUUGGAAGCUGUCGAAAAACUGCCUGAAGCCGCUGCCAUUUUCACUAAAAUGCAAUUAGAAAAGGCUUCAAUAAGACCUAAAGGAAGAAGAUAUUCCACUGAAGAAAAAGUUUUGUGCCUUACAAUUUAUAAACAAAGUCAAAAAGCAUAUAAAUUGUUGCAAAGACUCAUGGCAUUGCUAUCGAAACGGACCAUAAAGAAAAUAUUAAGAACGAUCGUUAUCCAGCCUGGAAUCAAUGAUUCUAUUAUUGAAAAUCUUAAGGGAGACAGUUAAAAAAUUACCUCAAGAAAAAAAAAUAUGCACACUGAUCUUUGAUGAAGUGGCAUUAACUCCGGGCCUAUAUUAUAAUAAAACCUCAGACGAAAUAAUUGGUUUUGAAGAUUUUGGUCCAAACAAAUCUAAACUAAUUGCUGACCAUGCAUUAGUUUUUAUGGUCAAGGGUUUGAAAUGCAAAUACAAACAGCCCAUAUCUUUCACAUUUUGCCAGAGUACAACAAAGAGUGCAGAAUUAAAAAAGCUGGUUCAAGACGCAAUAAAUGCUGUACAAAGCACUGGUUUGAAGAUUAUUGCCACUGUUUGUGACCAAUCGUCCACCAAUAUGUAUGUAAUAAAUAGUCUCGUAAAUGACACAAAAAGAAAAUAUUUAGCUGAAGGGAAAUAAUACAAAAGUUUAAGUUUUGAAUAUAAUGAAACAAAAAUAUUUCCUAUAUUUGACCCCCCUCACCUCCGUAAAGGUUUAAGAAAUAAUCUCCUUUCAAAGGAUUUGUUCAAAAUGGGGAAGUCAAAAUUGCCAAAUGGGAGCAUUAACAAAUGCUACUAAAUGCUGAUCCAGGUGAAGAUGAUAUAAGAUUAUUAAAUAAACUGUCUGAAAGUCAUGUUAUUAAAGACAAAAUACCUAAAAUGAAGGUAAAGAAUGCAGCCCAAAUAUUCAGCCAAAGGGUGUCUGCAACAAUGAGAUAUUUAGCCAAUCAUGAUAUUCUUCCUAAGGAGUGUCUGGGUACAGCAGACAUUUUUCUGCUAAUGGAUAAACUUUUUGAUUCGUUCAACAGUCACAGCUACCAGAAAUCAGAUAAACUUUACAAGAGUGCACUAAAAAUUAACUCGCCACAUUUUUAACUGUGGAACGACUCACUGCCUGUAUUGAGGUCGAUGCAGUUUAAAGUGGAAAAAACGUUAAGAGAUGGGACAACUUCAACAAAAUUUGAAGAAGUCCCAUCUCUUAAAAAUUGGAUUUCCAACAUUAAUAUUUAUAAAGAAAUAUUCAAUUAUUUGAAUGAGUUGGAAUGGAAUUAGUAGUCUGUUGACAAGAAAUAUAAACCAGGAUCCAUUAGAUUUUUUUUCCGCGAUAUAAGGAGUAAUGGUGUACGAAACACAUUUCCAACAUCCUCGCAGUUUAUAUGUGCGUUUAAAACAUUACUUGUUAACAAUUUAAUUUCACCACACUCACUUGGAGCAAGCUGUGAACAAGAUAACAAUAAGGCAUUGCUUAAACCAUUAAAAACAUUGCUAAAUUAUAGACAAAAAGAAGCAAGCACAGAACCCACUUAUAUUGUUAAUGUGGAUUCUGUUAUAGAUUGUUUCAUGCAAACAUCGGAAUUAAUUAAUAAUAACACAAACAGUAAAGAGGCAAAAAAAUAUGUUACCUACUGGUUACAUCAUAAAAAAAAGUAUGUAAAAAAUGCCAUACUUGCCGACUGAGUUUAGUAAGCACAGUGCCUCCGAGUAAUAAAGAUUACACAUUAGAAAGAUACAUCAUGAAAAGGUCUCUAAAUUAUCCAUCGGAGUUUUUAGACGAUGUUUGCAUCAUAAUCCAAGCACAGUUAAAUGGUGAACCACAACAAAAAUAUUUAAACAAUUCAAUACAGCAAAUUGCAAAUGUAUUUUAUGAUUUGUCACCAUUCUCUUGCAUGACUCAUAAAAGAGAUGUACAAAAUUUUGUAAUGGAUACAGUAAUUAAUAUUAUUAUAGUUAGCUGGUGCACUAACGUCAACAGAUUGCUAAAGGGCAAAAUAAAGAUCUGCCAUAAUAAUGCAACUAAAAUACAGGCAUUAAAUUAUUAUAAUAAACACAAUAGAAAGAAAUAAACUUUUCAAAUAAUAAA